rnacentral:rRNA from 1 species
GACGAACGCUGGCGGCGUGCCUAAUACAUGCAAGUAGAACGCACAGUUUAUACCGUAGCUUGCUACACCAUACACUGUGAGUUGCGAACGGGUGAGUAACGCGUAGGUAACCUGCCUGGUAGCGGGGGAUAACUAUUGGAAACGAUAGCUAAUACCGCAUAAUAUUAAUUAUUGCAUGAUAAUUGAUUGAAAGAUGCAAUUGCAUCACUACCAGAUGGACCUGCGUUGUAUUAGCUAGUAGGUGAGGUAACGGCUCACCUAGGCGACGAUACAUAGCCGACCUGAGAGGGUGAUCGGCCACACUGGGACUGAGACACGGCACAGACUCCUACGGGAGGCAGCAGUAGGGAAUCUUCGGAAAUGGACGAAAGUCUGACCGAGCAACGCCGCGUGAGUGAAGAAGGUUUUCGGAUCGUAAAGCUCUGUUGUAAGAGAAGAACGGGUGUGAGAGUGGAAAGUUCACACUGUGACGGUAUCUUACCAGAAAGGGACGGCUAACUACGUG